GACGUAGGGUGCAAGCGUUGUCCGGAUUUACUGGGCGUAAAGAGCGCGUAGGCGGCUUGUUAAGUGUGAAGUGAAAUCUCCAGGGCUCAACCCGGAAACUGCUUUGCAAACUGGCAAGCUGGAGGGAUGCAGAGGUAAGUGGAAUUCCUGGUGUAGCGGUGAAAUGCGUUGAUAUCAGGAGGAACACCCAUGGCGAAGGCAGCUUACUGGGCAUCUCCUGACGCUGAGGCGCGAAAGCGUGGGUAGCAAACAGG
rnacentral:rRNA from 1 species